rnacentral:rRNA from 1 species
AAACAUCGCCUCCUGCAGUAUAUAAGAGGUCCAGCCUGCCCAGUGACCAAGUUAAACGGCCGCGGUACCCUAACCGUGCGAAGGUAGCGCAAUCACUUGUUCUUUAAAUGAGGACUAGUAUGAAUGGCAUCACGAGGGUUACACUGUCUCCCACCUCUAAUCAGUGAAACUGAUCUCCCCGUGAAGAAGCGGGGAUAAAACUACAAGACGAGAAGACCCCAUGGAGCUUCAAACCCGGCAUCAACCAUUAACAUUAAUACCACAUUAAAUAAAUGGACCUGACUGCUGGUUUUAGGUUGGGGUGACCGCGGAGCAUAACAAAACCUCCAUGAUGAACGACCUCCUCUCUAAUCCGAGAGCCACCACUCAAAGAAUCAAAAAAUUGACAUUUAUUGACCCAAACUAUUUUGAUCAACGAACCAAGUUACCCUGGGGAUAACAGCGCAAUCCAUUUCAAGAGCCCCUAUCGACAAAUGGGUUUACGACCUCGAUGUUGGAUCAGGGUAUCCUAGUGGUGCAGCCGCUACUAAAGGU